rnacentral:lncRNA from 1 species
AAUAAAAGAUUACUCUUCAGUCCAUAGGAAACCUAUAAUUUAAGGUAUCAUGUCAUUCAUUUGCUUUCAGAAGAUGUGAUUAUGAUGGAUUGUGCUUUAAAGCAAUCAUACAGCUUCCAUCAGCUGCAUUUACAUGGCUUAUUAUAUGAAUCUUGUCAACCUUCUGGCCUGCUACAUUGUUGCUGUAAAAAAUCUGGCAUCUGGAGACAAAAUCUGCACUGCCCACCAGCAGUCAUGGGAAAAUACCCAUUGGAGAAUGGUGGGGGUUGAUGGAGUGGCCUCAAGAAGAUAGGAGUCUCUCCAAGGGACUAGGUAUAUUCCUACAUGAACAUAAUAUGAAAGGUUAAUCCCAAUGGUCUAUA